rfam:Schistosoma rodhaini strain Burundi genome assembly, scaffold: SROB_scaffold0004423
ACCCAGCUGACGAAUCCCAAAUAGGACGAAACGCGCGUCCUGGAU